UACAGAGGUGGCAAGCGUUGUUCGGAAUUACUGGGCGUAAAGGGCGCGUAGGCGGCCUUGUAAGUCCUGUGUGAAAUCCCUCGGCUUAACCGGGGAACUGCGUCUGAUACUGGAUGGCUUGAGAUUGGGAGAGGGAUGCGGAAUUCCAGGUGUAGCGGUGAAAUGCGUAGAUAUCUGGAGGAACACCGGUGGCGAAGGCGGCAUCCUGGACCAACACUGACGCUGAGGAGCGAAAGCCAGGGGAGCAAACGGG
rnacentral:rRNA from 1 species